GGGGGGGAGGCGGGAGGGGGAGCCGGGGGAGAGGGUUGUUAUUUUUAAUUUUUACUGCUCUACACAUCUUCCCCCGUCCCCUCCCCCCUGCCCCCCACUACUCAAAUUAUUGAUCAGAAAUCCUCUAAAAUAUAUUGUGAAGCGGGAGACUACCUUCCUGAAUCAUGCAGUUCUCCUUAUCUCCGCGGGAGUCUAAGCGCAGCCAAUUUCUUUCUUUCCAGUUGUGAACCUUGGGAAUUUGAGUGUGAAGAGGGUCUGACCUGUUGCCCAGGGGAAAAGAGAGCUGAAAACGUCUGAAAUCCCUGGCUUCAUCUUCGUUGAAGAAAUCAGCAAGAAUUACUGACGCAUAACUGAAGAAAGAAGUGAACAUAAUCUGCCAUAUCCAUGCACCAAAGGCCUUUUUUUUCCUAAAAGGACUUUAUUCUGGUGAUCAUUGAAAUUGCAACUCCAGUAAACUUUGGGGUGGGGGUAGGGUGGGAGGGGGAUUUAUAUUUGUUUUCCCCCUCUCUCCCACUGAAGCUUCCCCUCUAAUAAUGAUGUUUCGAGAUCAAGUCGGAGUGCUGGCAGGUUGGUUUAAAGGCUGGAAUGAAUGUGAACAGACUGUUGCUUUGCUGUCCCUUUUAAAGCGGGUGAGCAGGACACAGGCUCGAUUUCUUCAGAUCUGCUUGGAGCAUUCCCUGGCGGACUGCACUGAGCUUCACAUUCUUGAAGGAGAAGCCAAUAACCCCGGAAUCAUUAACCAAUGGCAACAGGAAUCCAAGGAUAAAGUGAUUUCCCUUUUAUUAAUUCACCUGCCUUUGUUGAAGCCAGGAAACAUUGAAGCAAAAGUGGAGUACAUGAAACUGUUGCCUAAAAUCCUGGCUCACUCCAUCGAACACAACCAGCACAUAGAAGAAAGCAGGCAACUCCUGUCUUAUGCUUUGAUCCACCCGGCCACUUCACUAGAAGACCGGAGUGCUUUAGCCAUGUGGUUGAAUCAUUUAGAGGACCGCACAUCAGGGAGCUUCAGCAGUCAGAACAGAGGUCGGUCUGAUUCUGUGGAUUAUGGGCAGACACAGUACUAUCACCAAAGACAAAACUCUGAUGACAAGCUCAAUGGAUGGCAGAACUCUCGGGAUUCUGGAAUAUGCAUCAGUGCCUCCAACUGGCAGGACAAAAACCUGGGCUGUGAGAAUGGCCACCUACCCCUCUACUCUUCAUCUUCAGUCCCCACCACAAUCAAUACUAUUGGGACUAGCAGCAGCAGCACAAUUCUCUCAGGCCAGGCACAUCACAGCCCUUUGAAAAGAUCUGUAUCCCUUACCCCACCCAUGAAUGUGCCAAACCAGCCUCUAGGACAUGGAUGGAUGUCUCAUGAGGACUUACGAGCUAGAGGACCCCAGUGCAUCCCAUCUGAUCAUGCCCCCCUGUCUCCACAAAGCAGUGUAGCCUCUUCAGGAAGUGGUGGGAGUGAACACUUAGAAGAUCAGACUACUGCUCGUAACACAUUCCAAGAAGAAGGUAGUGGUAUGAAAGAUGUUCCUGCCUGGUUAAAAAGUCUCCGUCUACACAAAUAUGCUGCACUUUUCUCUCAGAUGACCUAUGAGGAAAUGAUGGCUCUCACAGAAUGUCAACUAGAGGCUCAGAAUGUUACCAAAGGCGCAAGACACAAAAUUGUCAUCAGCAUCCAGAAGCUCAAGGAGAGACAGAAUCUGCUAAAGUCUUUAGAAAGGGACAUCUUAGAAGGGGGCAACCUGCGUGUCCCUCUGCAAGAAUUGCACCAGAUGAUCCUUACUCCAAUAAAAGCAUUUUGCUCUCAGAGCUCUAAUUCAGAGGAACACAGCCAAGAGUCAGAGCCUCAUCAUCAUCUUACUCUGAUUGGUUCUGAUAAUCAAGCCCUUGAGUGUAAGGACUCUGCAGCAGGAGGUGGAAUUCAGCAGCACCACAUGAGUGGCUGUGAGGGAGAAUCUGCAGGGGCACCUCUGCCCGAAGGCGAUCUCCCUGGACAGUUCACAAGAGUCAUGGGAAAAGUGUGUACACAGCUCCUGGUCUCUAGACCUGAUGAGGAAAAUAUAAGUUCCUAUUUACAACUCAUAGACAAGUGUCUAAUUCAUGAGGCAUUUACAGAGACACAGAAAAAAAGAUUGUUGUCAUGGAAACAGCAGGUGCAGAAGCUCUUUCGGUCUUUCCCUCGGAAAACCCUUCUAGACAUAUCAGGAUAUCGACAGCAAAGAAAUCGAGGUUUUGGACAAUCAAACUCCCUACCAACAGCAGGCUCUGUAGGUGGUGGCAUGGGCAGGCGGAAUCCUCGCCAGUACCAGAUCCCUUCAAGGAAUCUCCCUUCAGCCCGACUUGGCCUCUUGGGUACCAGUGGGUUCAUCAGCUCUACCCAGCGUAGCUCAGCAACCAACCCUACCAUCCUAAAACAAGGAAGACAGAACCUUUGGUUUGCCAACCCUGGGGGCAGCAACAGCAUGCCAAGUCGAACUCACAGCUCUGUCCAAAGGACCCGUUCCCUGCCUGUUCACUCAUCCCCUCAGACUAUGUUGAUGUUCCAACAGCAAGAGUUCCAGGUUCCAGUGACAGAACCUGACAUCAACAACAGGCUAGAAUCCUUGUGCCUCAGUAUGACUGAACAUGCCCUUGGGGAGAGCUGGUUCUGAGCCAAGAGCUUCCUUGGGAAAUAAUGGGGACAACAUGAUUCUGAAGAGCAGGGCAAGAAUUGGGUCCACAACAUCUUUGUCCCUAGUUCAUAUUGAGGCAACAUGGGUUAAGAACCUGAUGGGGUUGAUCGAACCUCCACUAUCUAGAAACUGAAGGAGUUAGUGACCGCGCUGGCCGUGAAAUCGACUGCUGCGGGUCCAGUGUCAGCCAUCUUCAGACUUGCACAGGAUCCUCUGAGAUACUUUGCAACCUUUUUUUUUCCUGGUCCCUCUCCCAUUUUGAUUUUGUGAGAGCGUAGGUCGUCCUUGUAAACAUAUCAUUAGACCCGGGAUUGGUUAUUUUGUUAUUUAUUACAUCAAGAGUAGAAGAGUGAGUAGAAUGGAUUGAUGGGAGGAGCAUGGAGAAGGAGGGAGCAUAGAGGAGGAAAGAUAGGUCUGGUGAGGUUUCCCAGAUGAAAUAAAAUAAUAAAUAGUUCCAACAGCAAGAAAAAUAUAAAAGAAACACAUCAUUGGGAAACAGAAGACCCUGGUCCCAGUAAGCCCCAGUAAAGAAGAGAGCCUGGCUUCAAAAAUCAGUCAAAAUGCAUGUGAUCAAAGCAAGGUGGCAUCUCAUAGCUUCACCUUUCUUGUCUCUCAUUGACUGGCUUUUUCUGAGGGUCUUGCCUGACCCAGAGAUAUAGGGCCACUUAGGAAAGGGGAUGAAAAAGGAGACAUUUUCCUCCAACUAAAUUUUAGAUAAUUUCAAUUUGUGUAUUGUUUACAUAAUAACAAAUCAAAAGGGUACAUAAUGUAUAAAGAUGUCAGUUAGGCCCUCUCAUAGUAUUGUAAAGGAUUUUUGUUCUAAAUGAUGAUGUGAGAUGUUUUUCUCUGUUCAUUUUUAAAAUAGCAGCAGGUUUGCAUUUUUAUAAAUGGCUGCCAAGCUCUGCUUCUAGGAAAGAUGGACACUGGCAUGUAGAACUGAUGGAUUUUUUGUAUUUUGAGCACAGGUUGAUGAAAAGGCUGGGGAUGUUGUUUGAAGGGGUGACAGUGUGGAUGAUGCAAAGAAGAGAAUGUCAUGUGAUCAGUGUUAUGGCUUCUCUCUCAUUUCACAAGGUGAUUUCUAAAAGUUGCUGCACGCUUAUUGUCAUGGAUCUACUUCUACCCCAGAAUAUCUUCCUCCUCUAUUCACUAAGCCCCAUCUGAUCAAUCUUCUUAUCUCCUGUCAUUACUCCUUACCCUCACCACCAUCACCACCACUCCACCUUCCCUUUAGACUAUUAGCUUAAAGAAAAAAAAUCUGACACUCAAAGGUGUUUGCAUGCACAUUCACCUAUGGAUGGAAUUUGUAUUUUCCCUAUGAAUAUGCCAUGUAUACAUGACAAAGAGCAUUGCUUUAGGAUGAAGGAAUCUAGUUUGAGUUAUGGGGCAUAUGAAUAGUGAUCCCUUCACUCAAGUCACUGGGGGAAAAAAGGACCCUGAGUCUUUGGGAUAUGGCAUAAGUUCACUGCUGAAUGAAGAGUACAAAUGUGGAGGACAGCCUGUGCUUCCCAUUCCACACUUAACAAGCACAGAGUCCCCAGCUUUUGUGGUGCUAUUGAAAGUAGGAGUGGAGACAGAGAGGUCAAGGAAGGGAGGGACUAAUAUAUAGAGGAGAGAUCUUAUGAUUAUAAUGGAUACCUAUAGCAAGGUUUAAAUCAGGGAUUUUCUGUGAUGCUGGUUAGUCUUUCCACACACAGAAAAGAAGGAUGUCAUUACGUAAAGAUGGUGCCUUUUCUUAAGGGAAAGAAAGUUAGACAGUUUGGUGCUGUGAAAAGUGCAUUAAAAGAAACCAAACAGAAGUUAAGGUCUGUACUAGGAAGCUGAACUAAAUCUUGGUAUGAAUGCGUAGCCAAAAAGAGGUAGGUUCAAGGAGAUAUGGCAUUAAAGUUAGUUCAUUAGUUAAGUGAAUUGGAUAUAUAGUGAAUAUAAUGAGAAAGGCAAGAGAGUUUGGGAAGAUUUAUUCAAUGCUAAGAAAAUAAUAAUUAUAGUAUUUUUACAUGGUAUAAAAGAAGGUGUUAAGUAAUUCUAACUACAUAAAACUUGCAACUUGGAAAAGAAAUACACAAUUGCAUUAGCAUGAAGUCUUUAAAAGAAAAAUUGCUUAUUGGAAUUUCUUUUUGUUCCUUUAUAGAAGCAAAAAUUAAAAGAUUAUUGAUAUACUUUUGUAUCUUGCUGUGGCUGGUAACCAUAAUUUCUGUCAUUAAUAACCACAUCAGUAAUUUUUAAAGCUUAUUUUUCAUUGUAUAGAUUAAUUUAGUUUUUGCUUUUUAUGUUUUGAUUAAAGAAAAAACAGGGUUUCUGUUAAAUUUUAGAAGACUACCCUUGCUCUAUGUGGAACCUGUAUUGACUGCAGGUAUAGAUAGAACUCAAUUUUUAAAAAAAUCCUAAAGCAAAAGAAAUCUAUUUAUUUAAAAAAAAAAAAGCAGUUGCAUGCAUAAUGCUGUGAAGUCAGAUAUUUAGUAAUAAAGCGGCAGUGCCUUUUUUUGUAUUUACCCAUUUACUCCAAAUGCAACUGUUUUAUAAUAAGCAAAUAUUUUUUUUAAAAAUCAGAAAUAUUUUUUUGUUCUUGAUUUAAGCAAUGUAUUCUUAGCAUCUCUGCACACUACUCCAUAUACAGUAGUGUACUGCUACAAUAUUCUUAUUCUUACGUAUGAUGUUUUAUUGGUGCUUUUUAUUCAUAGUGGUUUCUUACCAUUACUAAUAGGAAGAGACACACACCCUAUGUAUACAACAUGAAACAUUGCUGCUGAUAUGUUCUCACAUGCUUUGGGUUCCACUUCUUAAAUGAUUGCUGGCAAGCCAAAUAGACCCUAUGAGGUCUACAAAGUGAUGGUUUCUGGGCCAAGAAAGAAGCUAUCAAAUCCUUGUGUCUAAUUGGUAUCAAGAAAUAGGGCCAUAACGACAACCAUCACCCCGUUUCCCAUUUCCUACCUUCCCCAUUCCCAUCCCCACCUCCAUCACUCUUUGAAGAAACAUUGAGGAAAAUUUGCUUUUCAUUAAAUAUCCUUUUCUACCUUUUACCAACCCCAUCCAGCAACCCUUUCCACCCACCACAAGCCCUUCUAUCCCCCAACCCACUUACACAGAUACAGGAUUUGUCUCUCCUCUCCAUUAUGAACUAGAAACUUGAGAACAUCCCCUCCAGCCCAGACAAAUAUAGAGAUUCAAAUAGAGAUUCAAACCCAGGACUAUGACAUGCUUGCUGCUGGAAAACUGAAGAGAGGAGAGAAAAGAACACAGGAGUGAGCAGAACUCAAGUUUGUCUCUCCUUCAGAAAUCUCUGCAGUCAGCCCUAGUUUGGGGUACAGAAAUAUACAACUUUAGACUUUCUAAAUGUGCCUGAUGAUAAGUAGCUCCUGCAGAAAUAUAAUUUGCACACACAGCUAUAAUAACACUAAUGUUGAUUUUAUACAAAUCAUCAGAGUUUGCAAAAUGAGUUUUAUUUUUUGUAAUUCCUUUAUCUUUACUUAAAGGUGAAUGUUUUAUUCCUCUGGGAGGAAUAGGAAGAAAAUAGGAAUGUUAAUAAUGUUAAACAGAAUACUUCCUCCCUUAUUAAUAUAUAACCCUUUUGUAUUUAUGCAUCAUGUAAGCUGACUUUAAAAAGCUUUGCCUUUUUUGUUGUUGCAUGCUCCAUGCGAGCAAGUGAUAUUGUACCUGCAUGCAUUUAGUCCUCUUUUUCUGUAUAAAAUAGUGCAUAAAGGGAUAUUUUUGUCUAGUUUGUUGCCAACAAUGCACAUUUUAAAUUUUUGGCCACAUAUAGAAAUAUAGCAUGUUUGUUACAUGUAAAAAAUUUACUGAUAUACAGAAAUACUAAUAUUUGGAGAUGCCCUACUUUGCAAGUAUACAGUUUUCAAAUGUUGUUACCAGUGAAAACACUCUUGUGGUUUAAACUUGCUACAAUGUAUUUAUUACUCAUUUCCUCCCAUUAACUAAGAAAUCAUGGCUAUAUUUCAUAUAUUAAAAGUGAAGGGAGAUGAUUCAAUACAAGGUUUUGUAACA